AUUGAACGCUGGCGGCAGGCCUAACACAUGCAAGUCGAGCGCGAAAGUUCUUCGGAAUGAGUAAAGCGGCGGACGGGUGAGUAAUACAUGGGAAUCUGCCUGGUAGUGGGGGACAACGUUUCGAAAGGAACGCUAAUACCGCAUACGCCCUACGGGGAAAGGGGGGGAAGUCGCAAGACCUCUCGCUAUCAGAUGAGCCC
rnacentral:rRNA from 1 species